ACAAUAAUCAAACUUAGAAUUAUCGAAUCUUAUUCCAUGAUUGGAUGUAUGAACAUCUUAUUCUGCAUAGUUUUUUAAUUAUUUUAAAAAUUACAAUAUUCGAUCUUUAAAUUAUUUUUUCAUCAUAUCAUAUUCAACCAAAUUAUGAAUGUUAAGAUCUUUUAAAGAGUAAAAAUUAAAACUUUAACUUCUAAUCAUGAAAGAAAAUUCUCAUAUCGCACAAAUUAUUACUGAACAACUUAUGCGUAGAUUCAAACAAGGAAUUAAUCUAAUUAACAUC
rnacentral:lncRNA from 1 species